rnacentral:rRNA from 1 species
AUUGAACGCUGGCGGAAUGCUUUACACAUGCAAGUCGAACGGCAGCACGGACUUCGGUCUGGUGGCGAGUGGCGAACGGGUGAGUAAUACAUCGGAACGUGCCCAGUCGUGGGGGAUAACGUAGCGAAAGCUACGCUAAUACCGCAUACGAUCUACGGAUGAAAGCGGGGGAUCACAAGACCUCGCGCGAUUGGAGCGGCCGAUGGCAGAUUAGGUAGUUGGUGGGGUAAAGGCUCACCAAGCCGACGAUCUGUAGCUGGUCUGAGAGGACGACCAGCCACACUGGGACUGAGACACGGCCCAGACUCCUACGGGAGGCAGCAGUGGGGAAUUUUGGACAAUGGGCGCAAGCCUGAUCCAGCCAUUCCGCGUGCAGGAUGAAGGCCCUCGGGUUGUAAACUGCUUUUGUACGGAACGAAAAGGCUCUGGUUAAUACCUGGGGCUCAUGACGGUACCGUAAGAAUAAGCACUGGCUAACUACGUGCCAGCCGCCGCGGUAAUAC